rnacentral:rRNA from 1 species
UACAGAGGGUGCAAGCGUUAAUCGGAAUUACUGGGCGUAAAGGGUGUGUAGGUGGUUAUUUAAGUCAGGUGUGAAACCCCCGAGCUUAACUCGGGACGUGCGCUUGAUACUGAAUGACUAGAGUGUAGUAGAGGGUAGCGGAAUUUCCGGUGUAGCGGUGAAAUGCGUAGAUAUCGGAAGGAACAUCAGUGGCGAAGGCGGCUACCUGGACUAAUACUGACACUGAGACACGAAAGCAUGGGUAGCAAACAGG